AUGCUCCCUUCAGGAGCACAUGUACUAAAAUUGGAGCAAUACAGAAAAGAUUAGCACAACCCCUGCCCAAGGAUGACACAUGAAUUCCUGAAGCAUUCCAUAUUUAG
ensembl:snRNA U6 U6 spliceosomal RNA